rnacentral:rRNA from 1 species
UACCGGCGGCUCGAGUGGUGACCAUUUUUAUUGGGCUUAAAGCGUUCGUAGCUGGAUUGUUAAGUCUCUUGGGAAAUCUAACGGCUCAACCGUUAGGCGUCUAAGGGAUACUGGCAAUCUAGGGACCGGAAGAGGUGAGAGGUACUCCUGGGGUAGGAGUGAAAUCCUGUAAUCCUAGGGGGACCACCUGUGGCGAAGGCGUCUCACCAGGACGGCUCCGACAGUGAGGGACGAAAGCUGGGGGAGCAAACCGGAUUAGAUACCCGGGUAGUCCCAGCCGUAAACGAUGCGCGUUAGGUGUAUCAGCGACCACGAGUCGCUGAGGUGCCGAAGGGAAACCGUGAAACGUGCCGCCUGGGAAGUACGGUCGCAAGGCUGAAACUUAAAGGAGUUGGCGGGGAGCACCACAACGGGUGGAGCCUGCGGUUU